CAAAUUGAUCAUCGAAAACUUAUAAUCGAUUGAUUGUCAGUUAUAAUCAGUUUUCUAAAUUUAGUACAGAACUGUCCUUUAGUAGAAAAUCUAUUGAUAAGUACAUUUGUUACAUGCCUUGGCCUUUGUUAUCCAUAUUUUAAAUACUGAACAAAAAACAAAGAAUUUAACUUUUGGUAAUACAUUUAAGACUUCUUAAUCACUGGUAAAUGACCAAUAAAUAUUUUUUGUAAAAUAUACGAUCAACUACUUCUUGGUACGGUGACAAUAUAAAAAAAUUGAAGCCAAAGACACUUUUAGAAAUUUCUGAUUUAAUUUCCUUUUCAAAAUUUUCAUCAGUGAUUUUUUUUUUUUUUUUUUUACUAUUUUCAAUUAUUUUCGAUCAUAGCACCACCCCUGAUUAGAAGUCCUUUGUUUUCAUUAGUAAUACUGUUAUUUGAAUCUGUAAGGUUAAGUAAAUUAAAAUCCUUCAUUGUAAUUGUUUUUUAGCGGCUGGCUUUGGGAAAAGUUUAUAUAGUAUAAGCCAACAUCAAAAUUGAUAGAUAUAUACAUGUACAUGUAUUCCCAAAAAUGAUUUUUAUUUGUCCAUAUUCACAAAUUUGACAUUGCAUUUUUAACUUUUUAACAUACCAGUGAGUAGUAAGAGAAAGAAUGUUCAAGAUGGUGUGUGACAGUCAUUUUGUAUUUUCAUUUUUUACCUGUACUUUUUUCUAGAAAUUUCUUCAUUUUACCAAGUGUCCCGGUAGACUGUUGUCAUAAAAUCAGUAUCAUGGUGUUAAAGGUAAAGGUCAUCAUAAAGGUCAUCAUAGAGGUCAUAAUAAAUAUCUUCUUUGAGGAUUCUGCAUAACAAACUUGAGAAGCAAUAUUAUAUUGGCAUUUUGCAUGUUAAUGGGUUAAAAAUAAUGUAAUUGUGCAGAUAUUUUUGUCCUGGUUCUGAGGCAGUCCUAAUUUCCAGACUUUUACACCCAGAACCACCAAUUUAUACAGAAUAACCAUUGUAUACACUAUCUGUAUAUGUGUAGAGUCCAUUUCAACGCAUGAAAGAUUCUUACAUGGUAACAUCGUUUAUGAAAACACCUCUUAUAGUAUGGAUGAAUUGAACAUUUCUUCCGCCCAUGAGUUGGUUUGAAUGACAUAUUUUGAAAUGUACAACAUUUGAAAAUUGAAUAGCAUAAUAUAUGCAUGAAUUUUAUAAGAGAGCUUUAAGGAUGAGUGCUUUUACAGCUAAAAUGACCAAUGAUAUACAAUUAUAGUCUUUUGAUCAGGUGAAUGCAUGGUUUUAUUAACCUUAAAAAAUAAAAACCAAUCAGAAAGUGUGAAAAAUAUGAUUUUAUAAUAAUAGACCAUAUGAGAUACAUAACAUGUUUGAUAUCUACACAUAUCCAAAAUUAGCUCAUUUUCCAUAAGAAUUACUGGUGAUGAAUUUAGAACAGAAAAUUGAUGUAUUAAAAUUGGUGGUAAAUGAUAACUUUAUAUAGUAACAUUGAAUUUUCCGUGUGUAUGACUUUCAAACAUUUCCAAUGUGAAAGAAGUGUUGGUGUCAUUUGAAGUAGACAUGAAAUUUAAAGUAGCCUUAUAAACUAAAACUCAUGUUCAAAAUUUAUGUGGAGUAUGUCACUAUAUGAAAAGAAAAUGCAAUAGUUGAUCUUUACCAUGAACUGUUGUUUGAUACAGACAUAUUUUGUUGUCUAAUAGAUAUUUUUAUUGUAUUUUCAUGGAAUUUUGAUGUGUUCUAUAAAUCUAUGAAAUAGAUAUUUAAUAAAAUAUUUUAGUUUUAA